rnacentral:tRNA from 1 species
GGCCUGUUAGCUCAGUUAGUUGAGCGUAGCGCUAACAACGCUAAGGUUGAGGGUUUGAUUCCCGUUUGGUCCC